CAGUCGCCACGGUAAUACGUAGGGUGCGAGCGUUAAUCGGAGUUACUGGGCGUAAAGCGUGCGCAGGCGGUUAUAUAAGACAGAUGUGAAAUCCCCGGGCUCAACCUGGGACCUGCAUUUGUGACUGUAUAGCUAGAGUACGGUAGAGGGGGAUGGAAUUCCGCGUGUAGCAGUGAAAUGCGUAGAUAUGUGGAGGAACACCGAUGGCGAAGGCAAUCCCCUGGACCUGUACUGACGCUCAUACACGAAAGCGUGGGGAGCAAACAGGAUUAGAUACCCCUGUAGUCCCUGUCUCUUAUAC
rnacentral:rRNA from 1 species